UCUCUCUGUAGAAUGAGAAUAAGCCCAAGUCUACAGUAACUGUAGCUACCAUUAACAGCCCAGAAAGGUCACGGAGAACUUGAGUACCAAUUUUCUCACUGGAGUAAACUGACCCGUAUGUGCUAGUGGAUCAAGAAGAACAAAUAAAAGCUUGCAACCCCAGUUUCUUUGUCCCUCUGCAGCAGAGCAUCACAACCUAAACUGAUGCACAUUCUUAUUUUUUUCUGCGUUACCACCCUAAGUGCAUUUGAAUGUUUCCAGCAAGUUACUGCAUUCCUACCACCCCUGAAAGCAUUUUCCAAAAACAUGUUUUAGUUUAAGUUGACUGGUGGUUUGGCAAACAAAAGGCUGGAAUAUGGCACGAUGACUCAAAUUUAAAUUCAAUGCCUUAAAUUAAGGGCAUGCUGUUGCCAAGCCCCUGCUGGGCCUUGAUGUGCAUCAGCAUCCUGGCCCCUUCACACAGGUUCCUCUGCCACAGUGACCUUGGAUUCACUUAAGGCUGUACAUGCAGUGGCCUUCCUCUGAUGGAGGGUGGCCUCGGCCACCUGGGCUUUAAACUGGUGCUAUCUGGGAUGGAGAAAAGGCCAACCACUGCAGCAGCAAUAAAGCCAAAAGAGCAGAGCCACGGGCCCAUUUGAAAAUGAUGCACAGAGCCGGGCGUGGUGGCUCACACCUGUAAUCCGAGCACUCUGGGAGGCCACGGCAGGCGGAUCGCCUGAGGUCAGGAGUUCGAGAACAGCCUGGUCAAGAUGGUGAAACCCCGUCUCUACUAAAAAUACAAAAAUUAGCUGGGUUGAUGGCACACUGCUAUAGUCCCAGCUACUCUGGAGGCUGAGGCAUGAGAAUCACUUGAACCCGGGAGCCAAGAUCGUGCCACCAUCCUGCAACCUGGGUAACAGAGGGAGACUCUGUCUCAAAAAAAGAUAAAAAGAAAAAGGAAAAGAAAUGAUGCACAGAAGUGAUUGUGACCCCACCCUUCUGAAACUUCAUAGCCAACUGCCUCUACCACAUCUUGGUACUGGGGUCAUUAACUUUGAGGGUACAGGGUGGGCCCUUCAAUGGCUGGUUAAACUGUUAGUGAUUUCACAGGAGGAAAUCUGUAUCUCUUGGAAUUUCUGGCCUUGUUAGUCAUUAUUAUUAGCAUUCAGACAGGCAGAUCCUGCGGUGUCUAGGUGCCCACGGAAGUGGGGGACACUCACAGACGGGGGGACAUGGCCACAGAAUUGGAGGGGGCUGUGCAGAAAAAGGAGGCCACCUGAAAAAGUGGGAGAUGCCCACACCACCCUAGAUGUAGUAGGGUAUUUGAAGAAGUAGGAGGGUACCCACAGAAAUUAGGGUUCCCAUGGAAAUGGGGGAAGACUAAGACUAGAGCAUAGACUCCUAAUAGUAUAAAAUAACUUAAGCAUGCACUCUCAAUUUAUGCAUAUUCAUAAAUUCACUUAUAACUCAUAUACCUCUAAAAGAUGCCAGUAAUGAUGUCUACCCUGCAGUGUUGCUGUGAGAAUGAAAUUGAAUUUCAACCUGGUAAAUGCUGUAGAACCGCGCCUGGUAUGUGGUAACAUUCAAGGAGUGUAAUGGUUGUUGCUGUUACUGUCAUCAUCAACUUUAGGGACCUUAUUGUGGACAUUAGAAAAUACACAAAAUCAGAGAUUAAAGAUGAUAUAAAAUA
rnacentral:lncRNA from 1 species